UACGUAGGGUGCGAGCGUUGUCCGGAAUUAUUGGGCGUAAAGGGCUCGUAGGCGGUUUGUCGCGUCGGGAGUGAAAUCCACUGGCUUAACUGGUGGCUUGCUUUCGAUACGGGCAGACUAGAGUGCGGUAGGGGAGACUGGAAUUCCUGGUGUAGCGGUGAAAUGCGCAGAUAUCAGGAGGAACACCGGUGGCGAAGGCGGGUCUCUGGGCCGUAACUGACGCUGAGGAGCGAAAGCGUGGGGAGCGAACAGG
rnacentral:rRNA from 1 species